UGGGGAAUAUUGCACAAUGGAGGGAACUCUGAUGCAGCGACGCCGCGUGAACGAAGAAGGCUUUCGAGUCGUAAAGUUCUUUUAUAUGGGAAGAUAAUGACGGUACCAUAAGAAAAAGCCCCUGCUAACUACGUGCCAGCAGCCGCGGUAAUACGUAGGGGGCUAGCGUUGUCCGGAAUCACUGGGCGUAAAGGGUUCGCAGGCGGAAAUGCAAGUCAGGUGUAAAAGGCAGUAGCUUAACUACUGUAAGCAUUUGAAACUGCAUAUCUUGAGAAGAGUAGAGGUAAGUGGAAUUUUUAGUGUAGCGGUGAAAUGCGUAGAUAUUAAAAAGAAUACCGGUGGCGAAGGCGACUUACUGGGCUCAUUCUGACGCUGAGGAACGAAAGCGUGGGUAGCAAACAGG
rnacentral:rRNA from 2 species